rnacentral:rRNA from 1 species
CCUACGGGCGGCAGCAGUGAGGAAUAUUGGUCAAUGGACGAGAGUCUGAACCAGCCAAGUAGCGUGAAGGAUGACUGCCCUAUGGGUUGUAAACUUCUUUUAUAAAGGAAUAAAACGAGGCACGUGUGCCCUUUUGCAUGUACUUUAUGAAUAAGGAUCGGCUAACUCCGUUCCAGCAGCCGCGGUAAUACGGAGGAUCCGAGCGUUUUCCGGAUUUAUUGGGUUUUAAGGGUGCGCAGGCGGAUUUUUAAGUCAGCGGUAAAAUCUUGGGGCUCAACCCCAUCCAGCCGUUGAAACGGGGGAUCUAGAGUGUGCGAGAGGUAUGCGGAAUGCGUGGUGUAGCGGUGAAAUGCAUAGAUAUCACGCAGAACGCCGAUUGCGAAGGCAGCAUACCGGUGCACAACUGACGCUCAGGCACGAAAGCGUGGGUAUCGAACAGGAUUAGAUACCCCAGUAGUC